rfam:Pluralibacter gergoviae strain JS81F13 contig_3, whole genome shotgun sequence.
AUCGGUUUGACAAUAAACGAUAUCCGAAUCAGUUCUCUCAAGUUGCUCCAUCAUUAGCCUCUCCUUUGAUGUCUCUUCUUCAGUUCUUUUUCCUCUCUGAUAUCUUUUUUUCAGACCCUAAUGCCUGCGGGUGAUAUAAAUAAUAAGGAACGAAAGAUGACGACUAAAAUGACCGGUCUAGUGAAAUGGUUUAAUGCAGAUAAAGGCUUUGGCUUUAUUACUCCGGAAGAUGGCAGUAAAGAUGUGUUCGUGCACUUCUCUGCGAUUCAGAGUGAUGACUUCCGCACGCUGCACGAAAACCAAAAAGUUGAAUUUGCUGUUGAAAAUGGUGCCAAAGGCCCUUCAGCAGUAAAUGUAGUGGCGCUCUGAGGACAUCACUAUUACUGACGCUAUUCAUUUUCGCUGCCCAUGCUGCCACGGGUCUCAAUAC